UUCACUGGAUCUUGUUGUUUGGGCACCUGAGACAAGCUGGCAGUCACUAAAUCUCAGCGAUCACUCAAUGUGUGCCAGGCAUUCGCACACAAUAUCACUAACACCCAUGACAGUCCUUCAAGAGAGGUUCUGCUGUCUGAGAGAUUAUGUGACACGCCUAAGGUCACAGGAUCAGCAAAUACUAGGGCUGAGAUUUAAACCCAGAACUGUCUACUGCCAAAGCUUUUGCGCUCUCCCUCGUGCCACGUUGCUUCUCAUUUUGGGCUUGGUCUCCACUUCCCAGUCCUUGAAGGAGUUCUCCAGGUCUGCCCCAUUAGCACUGCAUCUCAGAAGGAAGCUGCAGCUGCGCCGCCAAUCUCCCGGUGGUAGGUGCUUAAUAAACAUUAUGAAGUGCAUGAACAAAUGAAUAGCCCCUGAUGGACAGACAUGCUUGAGAAACACUAUUUUUCACAUUCCUAUCUACACUCAAGAUUUUACCUAUGAUAGCAGGCUGAAGAUUCCCAGGAUCUUACAUCCUAGCAGAACAGACAGAAAAUCUGUGUAUGUUGUAUAAGCCCUGCAGUGUGUGGUACUUUGCUUCAACAGCCAAAGCAAAUGAAUACAGCCUCCAUGGUAGGCAAUGGGACAAGGAUUCAGCAUUCAGGAUCCUACCUGUGUCUUCUUCAGGAGCCCUAACAGUUCAGCUGAGCUGAAAGGAUGAGGAGGAAGCCCUUGGCGAUGGAACUUCUAGACAAGCCAAGGCCUGCCUGGCAGAGCUGGGAGCAGAUUGAGGAAGACACCACUGCCCCUCCACCCACCCCGCCGCCGCCUUCAUGUUGCCUUGAUCUUCUAUCCUCAGCUGACAUUUUUGUCGCUCAUCUCUGAUUGAAGAAACCUCAGUUUCUUAUUUGAUCUUUCCUGGACAACCGUUUAAUAGGCAGCAAGAAAAAGAGAUGAGAGAAAGUGAUUUUUCAUCCCUGACUUGACAUGAUAUUUUCCUUUUAACAAUUUAUCCAUACCUCUCCUCUCAGUUUCUCUCCUUUCAUAUACUCACAUACUAUCUGCCUCUCUGCAUAGCAAAGCAACCUUUUGAGCAGUUCUCUAAGAAGAUUCUAAAAAGCAAGGAAAAAGCAGGAUCACAAUAGCUCCUUCCCCAGUUCAAUUCAGCAAGCUUUUCUGAGCACCAGUCCAGAUGCAAGGCACAAUGAGAGGCAAGAUGAAGAAUGGGGGUUACUCUAUCCUCAUCGGACCAAUUUAGAAUCCAGUACAUGCACAUACAGGAAAAAUCCAAUGUGUUCAUCAUCUGUGUGUUCCAUAAUCAUUUACUGAGCACCUUUUAUCAAAAAGAGAAACCAUUUUUAAAGUAAACUGGAUUCUCUAUUAUAACAACAGUGAAGUUUGGCAAAAUGUUUUCCUCAUGUGAAGGCUUGAAUUUAAAGAAUUUUAAUUUAUGUUCAUUAUGAUUCAAUCCAACAUUUGUCUUUUUGUAUGUAUUAGAUCUUGCGAGGGACACAAAGAUAAUCAAGUUGUGGAUCUAGGUCUUAAGACGUAUAAAAUUGAGUGGGUCUAUGUCUUCCAAUACACAAAGUCAAGUGGAGAGACAUAAAUAACACUAACUUCAGUGCAAUGUAUACUAAAGGAUACGGAAUGACUUAUUCAGCAGCUACUAUGUGCCUGGUGCUUUACCCAUAUGAUUAAUAAAGCAUCUUUUGGUGAUAUUUACUGUUCAUGUAAUCUAUGGUCUAAGCCUGGUGACAUGGUCUUGAGAGGGAUACAAACAUGUAAUUACAAUGUAACAGGAAGUAGUGACAGGGAAAAUAAGAGAGAAUAGCCGGGACAUCUAAUCUGAUUUGGCAAAUCAAAGAAGGCUUCCAGGAAGAAGUGACUUCUGAGCUGAGUCCUGAAGAAUGAGUCAUCCAAAUAAAUCAGAGGAGGAGAUUGUUUUUGGCAGCAAAAAUAACAUGCACAAAGUCCCAAAGGCAGCGGGGAGACUUAUGUUCCUCAUCCAAUAAGAGAGGAAGCUGAGGUUCCAAUGAGUUAUUUAACUUACCAAAGAUCACACAGCUGGUGAUUGACCGAAGUUGGAUUUGGAUCUGGCGUGAGUAUCUUCCACCUAUAAAUGUUAAUAACAGAGGAAGAGAGAUAGAUUUUGAUUGAUGACAAUAGGGAAGCCUUUGUUAAAUUGGGUUUUGAAGAACGAAGUAAAAAUGGAAAGGGAAGAAUUGACAGAAACCAAGAGAGUGUUGAGGGGCAGCAAAUCCCAGUUUGACUGGAAUAUAGAGUGAUGUCAGGGUUGGAAGGAGGUGCUUUGAAAAAUUAAGUUGGAAAGAUGGAAAUGUUUUAGAUGGAAAGACCCAUCAAUCAAGUAAAAGAUACUUCAUUCCCACCGCAGGAUUAAGUCAAUAAGGCACUGGACACUUUAAGUGUCAGAGGAAAAGAGAAGACAAAAUACUGAACACUGCAGUAUAGCGACAGAGGAGCCCUGUAAUGACAGGCACUCCUCUGACCUGAGGUGAAUGAACACAGAAUCUUCAAUGUGUCCAAGGGAAGGGGACCCAGAGCUACUGGUAGACUAUCACUCCCAGAAUGCCUUUCAGUGAUCCACUUUCUUAGCCCACACUUCCUUCUAUUCUUCUUCCUUUUUUUUCUUUGUUCCUUCUUUCCUCCCUUACUAUCAAAAUCAUAUUUGAAUCUAUUGUUUCUUGGGAUAGAUAUGUCUGCUUGAAUAACAAAGAGGCUUUAUAACAAAGUCACCAAGAGAACAAAUUGCUUCAAAACCAGGUUUGAUGGACUAUCUUAAUGUAUGUUGGACUUCUCAUGAUUGUGUCUGGCUACCAAGCAAAUAAUAGUAAAAAAAUUAAAACUCAUUCCUCCCAAUUCAUGUUUUAAGAGCAAAUUAAUAAUGAAAGAUCUCUUUACAUCACAAAAAAGAAAGGAUUUUUUAUUUACUGUUGUUUGUUGUUUAAGUCCAGCAAAACUGAAGUUCAUGUGAAAGAAUAGGUGCAAAUGGUCCAAAAUCUCCUAAAGGAAGGCAAGGGCCUGAGAGGUCAAUGGCUGAGCAGCACUUGCUAGCAAUUACCAAUCAAUCCUCUUCAGGGCAGGAUAAUGGAAACCUACAUGGUAUAGCCUUUACAACCAGCAGA
rnacentral:lncRNA from 1 species